rnacentral:rRNA from 2 species
GGGUUGUGAGGUUAAGCGACUAAGCGUACACGGUGGAUGCCCUGGCAGUCAGAGGCGAUGAAGGACGUGCUAAUCUGCGAUAAGCGUCGGUAAGGUGAUAUGAACCGUUAUAACCGGCGAUUUCCGAAUGGGGAAACCCAGUGUGUUUCGACACACUAUCAUUAACUGAAUCCAUAGGUUAAUGAGGCGAACCGGGGGAACUGAAACAUCUAAGUACCCCGAGGAAAAGAAAUCAACCGAGAUUCCCCCAGUAGCGGCGAGCGAACGGGGAGCAGCCCAGAGCCUGAAUCAGUGUGUGUGUUAGUGGAAGCGUCUGGAAAGGCGCGCGAUACAGGGUGACAGCCCCGUACACAAAAAUGCACAUGCUGUGAGCUCGAUGAGUAGGGCGGGACACGUGGUAUCCUGUCUGAAUAUGGGGGGACCAUCCUCCAAGGCUAAAUACUCCUGACUGACCGAUAGUGAACCAGUACCGUGAGGGAAAGGCGAAAAGAACCCCGGCGAGGGGAGUGAAAAAGAACCUGAAACCGUGUACGUACAAGCAGUGGGAGCACGCUUAGGCGUGUGACUGCGUACCUUUUGUAUAAUGGGUCAGCGACUUAUAUUCUGUAGCAAGGUUAACCGAAUAGGGGAGCCGAAGGGAAACCGAGUCUUAACUGGGCGUUAAGUUGCAGGGUAUAGACCCGAAACCCGGUGAUCUAGCCAUGGGCAGGUUGAAGGUUGGGUAACACUAACUGGAGGACCGAACCGACUAAUGUUGAAAAAUUAGCGGAUGACUUGUGGCUGGGGGUGAAAGGCCAAUCAAACCGGGAGAUAGCUGGUUCUCCCCGAAAGCUAUUUAGGUAGCGCCUCGUGAAUUCAUCUCCGGGGGUAGAGCACUGUUUCGGCAAGGGGGUCAUCCCGACUUACCAACCCGAUGCAAACUGCGAAUACCGGAGAAUGUUAUCACGGGAGACACACGGCGGGUGCUAACGUCCGUCGUGAAGAGGGAAACAACCCAGACCGCCAGCUAAGGUCCCAAAGUCAUGGUUAAGUGGGAAACGAUGUGGGAAGGCCCAGACAGCCAGGAUGUUGGCUUAGAAGCAGCCAUCAUUUAAAGAAAGCGUAAUAGCUCACUGGUCGAGUCGGCCUGCGCGGAAGAUGUAACGGGGCUAAACCAUGCACCGAAGCUGCGGCAGCGACGCUGAUGCGUUGUUGGGUAGGGGAGCGUUCUGUAAGCCUGCGAAGGUGUGCUGUGAGGCAUGCUGGAGGUAUCAGAAGUGCGAAUGCUGACAUAAGUAACGAUAAAGCGGGUGAAAAGCCCGCUCGCCGGAAGACCAAGGGUUCCUGUCCAACGUUAAUCGGGGCAGGGUGAGUCGACCCCUAAGGCGAGGCCGAAAGGCGUAGUCGAUGGGAAACAGGUUAAUAUUCCUGUACUUGGUGUUACUGCGAAGGGGGGACGGAGAAGGCUAUGUUGGCCGGGCGACGGUUGUCCCGGUUUAAGCGUGUAGGCUGGUUUUCCAGGCAAAUCCGGAAAAUCAAGGCUGAGGCGUGAUGACGAGGCACUACGGUGCUGAAGCAACAAAUGCCCUGCUUCCAGGAAAAGCCUCUAAGCAUCAGGUAACAUCAAAUCGUACCCCAAACCGACACAGGUGGUCAGGUAGAGAAUACCAAGGCGCUUGAGAGAACUCGGGUGAAGGAACUAGGCAAAAUGGUGCCGUAACUUCGGGAGAAGGCACGCUGAUAUGUAGGUGAAGUCCCUCGCGGAUGGAGCUGAAAUCAGUCGAAGAUACCAGCUGGCUGCAACUGUUUAUUAAAAACACAGCACUGUGCAAACACGAAAGUGGACGUAUACGGUGUGACGCCUGCCCGGUGCCGGAAGGUUAAUUGAUGGGGUUAGCCGCAAGGCGAAGCUCUUGAUCGAAGCCCCGGUAAACGGCGGCCGUAACUAUAACGGUCCUAAGGUAGCGAAAUUCCUUGUCGGGUAAGUUCCGACCUGCACGAAUGGCGUAAUGAUGGCCAGGCUGUCUCCACCCGAGACUCAGUGAAAUUGAACUCGCUGUGAAGAUGCAGUGUACCCGCGGCAAGACGGAAAGACCCCGUGAACCUUUACUAUAGCUUGACACUGAACAUUGAGCCUUGAUGUGUAGGAUAGGUGGGAGGCUUUGAAGUGUGGACGCCAGUCUGCAUGGAGCCGACCUUGAAAUACCACCCUUUAAUGUUUGAUGUUCUAACGUUGACCCGUAAUCCGGGUUGCGGACAGUGUCUGGUGGGUAGUUUGACUGGGGCGGUCUCCUCCUAAAGAGUAACGGAGGAGCACGAAGGUUGGCUAAUCCUGGUCGGACAUCAGGAGGUUAGUGCAAUGGCAUAAGCCAGCUUGACUGCGAGCGUGACGGCGCGAGCAGGUGCGAAAGCAGGUCAUAGUGAUCCGGUGGUUCUGAAUGGAAGGGCCAUCGCUCAACGGAUAAAAGGUACUCCGGGGAUAACAGGCUGAUACCGCCCAAGAGUUCAUAUCGACGGCGGUGUUUGGCACCUCGAUGUCGGCUCAUCACAUCCUGGGGCUGAAGUAGGUCCCAAGGGUAUGGCUGUUCGCCAUUUAAAGUGGUACGCGAGCUGGGUUUAGAACGUCGUGAGACAGUUCGGUCCCUAUCUGCCGUGGGCGCUGGAGAACUGAGGGGGGCUGCUCCUAGUACGAGAGGACCGGAGUGGACGCAUCACUGGUGUUCGGGUUGUCAUGCCAAUGGCACUGCCCGGUAGCUAAAUGCGGAAGAGAUAAGUGCUGAAAGCAUCUAAGCACGAAACUUGCCCCGAGAUGAGUUCUCCCUGACUCCUUGAGAGUCCUGAAGGAACGUUGAAGACGACGACGUUGAUAGGCCGGGUGUGUAAGCGCAGCGAUGCGUUGAGCUAACCGGUACUAAUGAACCGUGAGGCUUAACCUUACAACGCCGAAGCUGUU